rnacentral:lncRNA from 1 species
CCUAAGCAAAGCAAACAAGCUUAAGCCAGUGGGGCAAUCGCAGUAACUGUUGGCCAAUACCAGGAAGAGCCAAUACCAGAAAGAACAUUUAGUUGUAAGAUAGCCUGGGCUGCCAGAGCCUAAGAAUCUAGAGUUGGACUUGGACUAUUCAGUAGAACCUCAGUGACAAUAGAAAUGUUCUACUUUGCUCUGUCCAAUAUGGUAGCCACCAGCCACAUGUGACUAUUGAGUCCUUGAAAUGUGGUUGGUAAAAGUAGAAAAAUUAAACUAUGAGGCAACCCUGGCUAAUCCUUCCUGGCAACAAGUGUCUGCAGCUGUGUCCAAGGGACACUAGCAAGUUAGUGGAGUCUCUGCCCAGCCUGCUUCACUCAUUCACGUGGCCUGCCUUGGCCCCUGAAAGGGCUGGAGUUGGAGAUCCCCUCACAAAUCUACCCCAAGCAGAAGCAUCAAAUCUGAGAGCCUGGCACCACUUGUCACUUUGCCUUGGUGGCCCUCACUUUUAGCACUCAACAGAGAGAACAAGGACCUCGGUGUAAAUAUUUUCUGUUCAAAGUAGAAUCUCUUCAGUGUUCUUCAAAAGCAAACAUGAAUGUGCACACAGACAAAGGACUUCCAAGUUACUGCAUCAGGAUGAGUGUGAGCCCGGGCGAGGUACAUACAGCAGGGACAUUUACUACCUUGAUCAUGGAACUUAGCUGUGCUGCAGUUCCUAGAUCUGGAAAAUAAAGACAAGAGAACACCUAGAUCACGAGGCUGGUGCGACAUGAAGGACCUGGAAUAAGGCCUGGCACAUCACAAGAUAGAGAACAUGAUAGCUACACAAGCUCAGAACAUGAUAGUUACCAUUAUUCUAGACUUCAGACUGUCCAUCGAUCAUGGAAACCACCUCUCUAUGGAGAAAGAAUGAAGACAAACAUUUCCCACAAUAUGAAACAGAGACCUGGGCAGGUUUUCACCCCCCAGUCUAUUCUAAACCACAGCAGAAAUCUGAGUGCGCUUGUAUAUGUUAAAUGAUCAGUCCCAGGAAACCAGUUAUUGGUGACUCAUCAAAAUCUCUCCGUUUCACUAAGGACUGCAGCACAGCCUGGGAUGGGUUUUGGAGUAACACAGACACACAUACCAUGUGUGUGCAGCUUCUUUCCCUACUGGUGCACAGAAAACCCAGUGAGAGAAUAACUCUCCCUGCACAAAAGAAGACAUCAGCCAAAUCUUCCCCAAAUCGGUCCUUUGUCUGACCCAGACUAGGCCCUUCCAACAGCAUUCUUUAGCCACUGACCUUGACUACAAAAUCAGAUUACAGCAUAAAAUUUCUAAAACUGUGAUGGCUCUAAAAAUUCAGCUUUUCUUCACAGAUUUACAUUUUGAAAAGUACAUUGUGUUUGAACUCAACCCAAAUUAUCUGCCACGACUCAAGUGAUGAAACAUACAGCAACGUCCUUCCC